AAAAAAACACUCUAUCAUUAUUAUCUUUUUAGGCCUAUUUAAUGAAGUGGGCCCAAAUUGAAAUGACGGCCCAUUUAAAGAGGCCUCUAAAUAAUUCAGAAAUCUUGAUCUAAGUGGAAUUAGGCGGUGGUUGGGCUCUUCAACAAACUGUUUUAUGCUGAGAUGUCCAAAGACAAGGUCACCUUUCUGGUUAUCGGACAUCACUCGAACAGGACUCAAUUUCUUGCCGAGGGUUUCUUUGAUACCCUCUCUUCCAGGCAACCUUAAGGGUAUACGUGCACAAAACAUGAAGCAGAUCUGGAAGGAAGAACAUAGGACUGAAUCCCUGAAUUACUGUAAAGAUUAAGUUUGCAGCCUGUGUCAUCAGUCUAUUAAUGUGUUCAUUUCAUUUUCUUGUUAAUCAGAAGAGCGAUGGUGGAUCGAGCAAUGAAGAACAUCUUACUAGCAUGGAUAGUUUCAUCACAAUGGAGCUAAUGGAAGAUGAUAUGAAAUGAAUCAUAGUGCAGA